AACAGAGAUUGGGUUGGUAACAUUGAAGAGACACUUCUCACCUGCCUGAAAUGCCCUACGUUAUCUUCAAGUUGCAAGGGCUCUGGAACAGCCCUUGCAGUGCUCCCGUAAAGGUUGAACGAGACAUCUACGUUGGCGGUCUCGGGGACUCCCGCAGGUCAGUAGUCCCCCGGCAGACGUGCCGGACCCUGACAGAGGACUGACAUCCUUUUGCAGUCCUCCUCCUGGCUCUCAGCCUGAAGACACUCUGACUCCAGAGGCCACCUGCAUUCUUUCUCGCUUUCCUUAUCUUCCAACCAACAGCAGCUCAUGGAAUUCUUCUCCAGCUCCCAUCGUCUCUCUGACUUUGUCUUCUCCUACCCACUAGAGAAAUCUGUGACUCUUAGGGAGGGGUGUGAUUAGAUCCGGUCCACUCAGGAAAGCUCAGGCUUGGUAUUAGUCUGUUCUUGCAAUGCUAUAAUGACCUGAGGCUGAGAUUUAUAAAGAAGAGAUUUAAUUAGGCCAUGGUUCUGUGGGCUGGCAGGAGAGAGAGAGAGAGAGAGAGAGACAGAGAGAGAGAAAGGGGAAGUGCUACAUAGUUUUAAAGAGCCAGAUCUCAUGGAAACUAUCACGUGACAGCACCUGGGCGAUGGUGCUAAGCCCUUAGAAACCAUCCCCACAAUCCAGUAACCUCCUGCCAGGCCCCACUCUAACACUCGGGAUUAUAAUUCAACAUGGGAUUUGGGUGGGGACACAGGACCAAACCGUAUCACUCUUUAAAGUCAUAUGACUGCCAUUUAACAAUGUAAUCACAGGAAUGUCUCAGCUUAACAGAUUCCAGAGAUACGGGUAGAGGAUGUUUGGAGACCAUUUUAGAAAUUCCACCUAUCGCAGUUCAACUUCUGGUCCCCAGACAUUCACGUUCCUCACAGAUGCAAAAUACAUUUACCCUCUCACCUAAGGUGUCCAAGUUUCAUGUCAUUAUGCAUUAGUGCAAAGUGAAAAAUGUCAUGUAGCUUUAAUCUGAUCAAAAGUUUAAAAUCUCAUUUAAAUCAUCUACACCAAGUGUGAAUGAGGCUUCUGAGGGUGUCCAUUAAGUACAGAUUCCUUUUAUUCGAGAGUGAGUCUUGGUCUGUCACCCAUGCUGGAGUGCAGUGGUGCGAUCUUGGCUUACUGCAACUUCUGCCUUUUGGGUUCAAGUGAUUCUCCUGACUCAGCCUCUCG
rnacentral:lncRNA from 13 species